AGUUGAAACGAACACACGAGUGUUGUUUCAUAGACAUCCCUACAAUGUAAAUAAUGUCGUGCCUUUAAAUAGGCAAUCGGUAUAUUGAGUGCUCGAAUCAGGGUUUCAAUAGAAAAUCGCGUAAGAGAAGAAGUUAUUAAGAAUUAUUAAGUUGAUCAAUUGCAAGAAAAUUUAUGCUGUUGGAAUGAUUUCAAGAAAAUUAAGAAAACGGAAAUAAAAGAAAACCAAGAAAAUUGGAGGUCUGGAGUCUGGGAUAUGAACUAUAUUAGUUCUUUCCCAAUCAGACUGCCGAAGAAGAAAGUUAUUAAAAUUGUGAAUUUUAUAAAGUGAUUGAAGCCUAUUUAAAGUGAGCAAGUAAAGUUAUAUUACAAGAAAAAAAAUCAUUACAAUAAUUUAUUUAAUUUAAUUAAAGCUAUUUGCAGAAAUAAGUUGAGUUUUCGCACAAAAAAAAAAACAAAAUCGUGAGCGGAGUGAUAUCAAAGAUUUGAUCCAGGAAAAAGCGUGAGUGGAUAUUUAACAAGCUAAUUUUGAAGAAAGAAAAGGAGCCAAAAAGUGAGAAGCAAUAACGUGAGUCACCGCAGUGACCGCGUGGAGCAUUGGGGUUGAGGAGUGGCUUCGUUCGGUGGAACACCGAGCCACAGAGCGUAAUUGGCACAACAAGCUGCUCGCCAAAACCAUCGGCAUCGUGCGAUCGGACUAGGGCGAUCCCCUGGAGGUUCUCCUCGUCUCGUGGCUGCGUGCCGCUAGGAGUGCCCCCAGAGUGCGUGGUCAACGGUUUUAAGGAUUCGGCCUCGCGAAACCACACCGCUACCCGUGGUUGCCUGCGAACGCGAGUAGUCUGACUGGGGAAAGAAACCCACAGCCAACGAGAUCCGCCCCCACACUCACGUCCCGGGUAUAGAAGAUCCAUGGAAUUUAGUCCGAUCGCCUCCAACUCCCACCCCACGUUCGUGUAAGUACCACGCCACGGUUGAUGGUAUUAGUGCUCUCCAGACUGGGCCGUCUGAGCUAUUAGCGUCGUGUUUUGCAUCGAACAUCGAGGCGACGCCUGGUACCGAGCCCUCGGUGCACUCGGUCGGCGACCAUCCGACUCCAUCACCAACAACUGAGAACGCCUGGCUUAGCUCGACUAACAGCCGGCCGUCGGUCACCGCACGAAGAUCGGCGUCGCUGCCGGCCGCUACACCAUCGGUAGGCUGGUCGAUCAGGUAACUCACCCGGCAGAGAAUGUAAGUACCUGACAUUUUUAUC